AGAGUUUGAUCCUGGCUCAGAUUGAACGCUGGCGGCAUGCCUUACACAUGCAAGUCGAACGGCAGCACGGAGCUUGCUCUGGUGGCGAGUGGCGAACGGGUGAGUAAUAUAUCGGAACGUACCCUAGAGUGGGGGAUAACGUAGCGAAAGUUACGCUAAUACCGCAUACGAUCUAAGGAUGAAAGUGGGGGAUCGCAAGACCUCAUGCUCGUGGAGCGGCCGAUAUCUGAUUAGCUAGUUGGUAGGGUAAAAGCCUACCAAGGCAUCGAUCAGUAGCUGGUCUGAGAGGACGACCAGCCACACUGGAACUGAGACACGGCCCAGACUCCUACGGGAGGCAGCAGUGGGGAAUUUUGGACAAUGGGCGAAAGCCUGAUCCAGCAAUGCCGCGUGAGUGAAGAAGGCCUUCGGGUUGUAAGGCUCUUUUGUCAGGGAAGAAACGGUGAAAGCUAAUAUCUUUUGCUAAUGACGGUACCUGAAGAAUAAGCACCGGCUAACUACGUGCCAGCAGCCGCGGUAAUACGUAGGGUGCAAGCGUUAAUCGGAAUUACUGGGCGUAAAGCGUGCGCAGGCGGUUUUGUAAGUCUGUUGUGAAAUCCCCGGGCUCAACCUGGGAAUUGCAUUGGAGACUGCAAGGCUAGAAUCUGGCAGAGGGGGGUAGAAUUCCACGUGUAGCAAGUGAAAUGCGUAGAUAUGUGGAGGAACACCGAUGGCGAAGGCAGCCCCCUGGGUCAAGAUUGACGCUCAUGCACGAAAGCGUGGGGAGCAAACAGGAUUAGAUACCCUGGUAGUCCACGCCCUAAACGAUGUCUACUAGUUGUCGGGUCUUAAUUGACUUGGUAACGCAGCUAACGCGUGAAGUAGACCGCCUGGGGAGUACGGUCGCAAGAUUAAAACUCAAAGGAAUUGACGGGGACCCGCACAAGCGGUGGAUGAUGUGGAUUAAUUCGAUGCAACGCGAAAAACCUUACCUACCCUUGACAUGGCUGGAAUCCUUGAGAGAUCAGGGAGUGCUCGAAAGAGAACCAGUGCACAGGUGCUGCAUGGCUGUCGUCAGCUCGUGUCGUGAGAUGUUGGGUUAAGUCCCGCAACGAGCGCAACCCUUGUCAUUAGUUGCUACGAAAGGGCACUCUAAUGAGACUGCCGGUGACAAACCGGAGGAAGGUGGGGAUGACGUCAAGUCCUCAUGGCCCUUAUGGGUAGGGCUUCACACGUCAUACAAUGGUACAUACAGAGCGCCGCCAACCCGCGAGGGGGAGCUAAUCGCGGAAAGUGUAUCGUAGUCCGGAUUGUAGUCUGCAACUCGACUGCAUGAAGUUGGAAUCGCUAGUAAUCGCGGAUCAGCAUGUCGCGGUGAAUACGUUCCCGGGUCUUGUACUCAACGCCCGUC
rnacentral:rRNA from 1 species